AUUGAACGCUGGCGGCAGGCCUAACACAUGCAAGUCGAACGAGUGGCGGACGGGUGAGUAAUGUCUGGGAAACUGCCUGAUGGAGGGGGAUAACUACUGGAAACGGUAGCUAAUACCGCAUACCAUCGGAUGUGCCCAGAUGGGAUUAGCUAGUAGGUGGGGAAAAGGCUCACCUAGGCGACGAUCCCUAGCUGGUCUGAGAGGAUGACCAGCCAGACUGGAACUGAGCCACGGUCCAGACUCCUAGGGGAGGCAGCAGUGGGGAAUAUUGCACAAUGGGCGCAAUCCUGAUGCAGCCAUGCCGCGGGUAUGAAGAAGGCCUUCGGGUUGUAAAGUACUUUCAGCGGGGAGGCGUUACCCGCAGAAGAAGCAACGGCUAACUCCGUGCCAGCAGCCGCGGUAAUUC
rnacentral:rRNA from 1 species